GCGAUGUCUCAUGUGUAAAACAGUACCCCCUAUGUACAGGUUUUAUGGUGUUUUGGGAAGUUACAGGGUCAAAUAUAAUACCGUAUGGUAGUCCAGGAAUGAGAAUUACCCACAUGAUGGCAUACCAUUUGCACUAGUAGACAACCUAAGUUAUUGCAAAUGGGGUAUGUCCAGUCUUUUUUAGUAGCCACCUGGUCACAAAUACUGGCCAAAGUUAGUGUUAA